GCAUAGACAGCUAGGAGGUUGGCUUAGAAGCAGCCACCCUUUAAAGAAAGCGUAAUAGCUCACUAGUCGAGUCGGCCUGCGCGGAAGAUGUAACGGGGCUAAGCAAUAUACCGAAGCUGCGGCAGCACGUUUACGUGCUGGGUAGGGGAGCGUUGUGUAAGUGGAUGAAGGUGAGUUGUAAAGCUUGCUGGACAUAUCACAAGUGCGAAUGCUGACAUGAGUAACGAUAAUGGGAGUGAAAAACUCCCACGCCGGAAGACCAAGGUUUCCUGUCCCAUGCUAAUCAGGGCAGGGUAAGUCGGCCCCUAAGGCGAGGCAGAAAUGCGUAGUCGAUGGGAAACGGGUUAAUAUUCCCGUACCUUGGAUAGCUGCGAUGGAGAGACGGAGAAGGCUAGGUGAGCCGGGCGACGGUUGUCCCGGUUUAAGCGAGUAGGGAGUGGACUUAGGCAAAUCCGGGUCCACAAUCUCGAGACGCGACGACGACUGCUCUUAGAGCGGGAAGUCAUUGAUGCCAUGCUUCCAGGAAAAUCUUCUAAGCUUCAGGCUAUUCGAGACCGUACCCCAAACCGACACAGGUGGAUAGGAUGAGAAUUCCAAGGCGCUUGAGAGAACUCUGGUGAAGGAACUAGGCAAAAUAGCACCGUAACUUCGGGAGAAGGUGUGCCCUUGAGGUGAAGCGACUUGCUCGUGGAGCUGGAGAGGGUUGCAGUGACCAGGUGGCUGCGACUGUUUAUUAAAAACACAGCACUCUGCAAA
rnacentral:rRNA from 1 species